UAUCUCUGUAGAGUCUGCAUAUCAAUAAGCGGAGGAAAAGAAACUAACAAGGAUUCCCCUAGUAACGGCGAGUGGAGCGGGAAGAGCUCAAAUUUGAAAUCUUCGAGGUUUGACCUUGACGAAUUGUAGUUUAAAGAAGUGUUUUCGGUUAGAGGAGUAGUAAAAGUUCUUUGGAAUAGGACAUCAUAGAGGGUGAGAAUCCCGUAUUUGACUAUUCUUUCUAGCUUUGUGAUACACUUUCAAAGAGUCGGAUUGUUUGGAAUGCAGUCCAAAAUGGGUGGUAAAUUUCAUCUAAAGCUAAAUAUUGGCGAGAGACCGAUAGCGAACAAGUACCGUGAGGGAAAGGUGAAAAGAACUUUGAAAAGAGAGUUAAACAGUACGUGAAAUUGUCAAAAGGGAAGCGUUCGACACCAGUGUUGUUUUUUCCGAAAAUCAAUUAAAAAUUGAUUCAUGCCAGGUUGUAUUGACCUUUAUCAGCUUGCAAUUUGGUUUUGGGUCCUCUUUUUGAUGCACUUUUCGGUUAACAAGUCAACAUCAAUUUCCUUUGCUGUAAAAAGGUAAGAGGAAGGUGGCUUCAAUUUCGGUUGAAGUGUUUAUAGCCUUUUAUCUCUGCAGUCGGGGAGAUUGAGGUCUGCAGCGUAGAUCCUUCGGGGCUAGAUACAUUUAUGCUAAGUUAUAGCUUUUCAUAGACAACUUGUUGACUAUGUUUAGUCAUGUAGCUUACUCGUAAGUGCUAUUUUACCUACGCUUAGGAUGUUGAAGACUCUACAGAGAUA
rnacentral:rRNA from 1 species